rnacentral:rRNA from 1 species
AGAAUCAACGCUGGCGGCGUGCCUAACACAUGCAAGUCGAACGAGAAAGUGGAGCAAUCCAUGAGUAAAGUGGCGCACGGGUGAGUAACACGUGACUAACCUACCCUUGAGUGGGGGAUAACCUAGGGAAACCUGGGCUAAUACCGCAUAAUAUCGAGAGAUCAAAGGAGCAAUUCGCUUAAGGAGGGGGUCGCGGCUGAUUAGCUAGUUGGUGAGGUAAUGGCUCACCAAGGCUAUGAUCAGUAUCCGGCCUGAGAGGGCGAACGGACACACUGGAACUGAAACACGGUCCAGACUCCUACGGGAGGCAGCAGUGGGGAAUUUUGCGCAAUGGGGGAAACCCUGACGCAGCAACGCCGCGUGGAGGAUGAAGUCCCUUGGGACGUAAACUCCUUUCGAUCGGGACGAUAAUGACGGUACCGGAAGAAGAAGCCCGGCUAACUUCGCGCCAGCAGCCG